rnacentral:rRNA from 1 species
GACGUAGGGCGCGAGCGUUGUCCGGAUUUAUUGGGCGUAAAGCGCACGUAGGCGGCUUUGCAAGUUAGAGGUGAAAAGCCCGGGGCUCAACUCCGGAAUUGCCUUUAAAAACUGCAUCGCUAGAAUUGUGGAGAGGUAAGUGGAAUUCCGAGUGUAGAGGUGAAAUUGUAGAUAUUCGGAAGAACACCAGUGGCGAAGGCGACUUACUGGACACAUAUUGACGCUGAGGUGCGAAAGCGUGGGGAGCAAACAGG